rnacentral:rRNA from 1 species
AGCGAACGCUGGCGGCAGGCCUAACACAUGCAAGUCGAACGAACCCUUCGGGGUUAGUGGCGGACGGGUGAGUAACACGUGGGAACGUGCCUUUAGGUUCGGAAUAACUCAGGGAAACUUGUGCUAAUACCGAAUGUGCCCUUCGGGGGAAAGAUUUAUCGCCUUUAGAGCGGCCCGCGUCUGAUUAGCUCGUUGGUGAGGUAAUGGCUCACCAAGGCUACGAUCAGUAGCUGGUCUGAGAGGAUGACCAGCCACAUUGGGACUGAGACACGGCCCAAACUCCUACGGGAGGCAGCAGUGGGGAAUCUUGCGCAAUGGGCGAAAGCCUGACGCAGCCAUGCCGCGUGGAUGAUGAAGGUCUUAGGAUUGUAAAAUCCUCUCACCGGUGAAGAUAAUGACUGUAGCCGGAGAAGAAGCCCCGGCUAACUUCGUGCCAGCAGCCGCCGUAAUAC